CUCUGACAGAGCAAGGACAUUGGGGCUCUUCGGAAACCUCUUCCAGGAAGGACACAGGGCUGGCUAGAAAACCAGAAGUAAUCCAGAGUCCGUGCUGCUCACAUCUCAGAGCCUGUUGGAUGUCCUAGUGGUCAAGUGGAUUCAUCCCUCAGCCUGCUCCUUCCGUACAUUAACUGGGGACCAAACCGAGGGCCUUCUGCAUGCCAGGAUGAGUCUGGAUGGGAGCUGAGAGUGACUAUCAGGGGAAGACAGAGGGUGCUGGGGAGCGGGAACUUAGGAGACGGAGGCGUGAGGAUCAAGGAUCAUCCUCAGCUGGAGUGUGAGCACAAGGCCACUCUCGCCCGCCCACAGAAGACCCUGUCUCAAGUGAAAUGAAGCCAAACAACGGGCAGAAAAGGGAAGAGGAAGAAGUCGAAUGGGCCAGCUUUAAUGUGAAGCUUCAGCCAGUGUAGCACGAUGAAGCCACAGAACACUUACAAAGAAGGAGAAGAUGGCCCCUGGCCUCGUGGCAGAAAGGUGCCUUCUCUCCCUAGGGGAGCCAGGCUCUGCAAACACGUGUGACCACAUACUGCCUGCCAUAAGAUGGAUGCUCACAUCUGCAGGCUGACUGGGGAAAGAAACUGAGGCCCAGAGCAGAGCGGCAGAGCGGCAGAGGAAGGCUUUCAAGCUGAACAAACCCAUCGUGGGAACAGGUGCCGUUCUGUUCCCCACUGGCCUCUGGUUACCAGGCUGCCUUUGUCUUUCUUGUCAGCCUUGCUCUUCAGAGGGAUAAAGCCACAGGGCUUUCACUUCAGGCCCUUCCAGCCCUUCUCCCAUCCAUGGCUGCAGGUGAAAGCCCAAAUUCCCUGUCUGCUGGGGAACAAGGAUGUGGCUGGCUCCUCCACUCCCUCAGUCCACCUGUUAGUACGGCCUGGCCCUGACGGAGCCCGGAGGGGGAGAGCCCGGGAACCUGGACUGCCUCGUCACAGGCAUAUAAAGUGUUCCUUGGCCCUGGGAAUAGCCAGUCACCUCCAUUCAUAGAAGCCCCCCCCCCUCCCAUCACUCUGGAGAAACAAACUGAGGCGGUCAGAGGGCAAAAACCUGUCUGUGGAUGCAUUUGUCUGUCUUUCUUUUCUUUCAAUUUCUUUGUGUCAAAGCCUCAGCUCAAAUGCCCCAGAUUCUCCAGUGGAUAACAUGAAAAUGAACCAAAAAAAAAAAAGACACAUUGAGAUAUUCAAAAGCUUGGUAUCCAGAAAUGCCCACCUUCUGCUAAAACUGCAAAAAGGUGCAAGGAAGUGUGCAUGAAGCUAAGAGAUCAGUCUCCAGAGAGACUGCCAGGAGGGGAGACUGAGAUGGCAUCCUCAGAAGGGCCGGCAUCAGCGCCCCAGUAUCCACUGUAUUCCAGUGUGUUUUACGAGCUGUUAAAGUGUGUAUUUAUUUUGUGUGUUUUC